CCCUCACAGCACCCCUGUAGGUCCCUGGCCUCUCACCCUCCCCCCACAGCAUCCCUGUAGGUCCCUGGCCUCUCACAGCAUCCCAUAUAGGUCCCUGGCCUCUCACCCUCCCCUCACAGCAUCCCAUGUAGGUCCCUGGCCUCUCACAGCAUCCCAUAUAGGUCCCUGGCCUCUCACCCUCCCCUCACAGCAUCCCAUGUAGGUCCCUGGCCUCUCACCCUCCCCUCACAGCACCCCUGUAGGUCCCUGGCCUCUCACCCUCCCCUCACAGCACCCCUGUAGGUCCCUGGCCUCUCACCCUCCCCUCACAGCAUCCCUGUAGGUCCCUGGCCUCUCACCCUCCCCCCACAGCAUCCCUGUAGGUCCCUGGCCUCUCACCCUCCCCUCACAGCACCCCUGUAGGUCCCUGGCCUCUCACCCUCCCCUCACAGCACCCCUGUAGGUCCCUGGCCUCUCACCCUCCCCUCACAGCAUCCCUGUAGGUCCCUGGCCUCUCACCCUCCCCUCACAGCACCCCUGUAGGCCCCUGGCCUCCGAUCCUCCUCUCACAACCCCCCUGUAGGCACCUGGGGGCCCUUGGCCCCACCACCUCCCCCUAACCAGCUUGCGUGUCCCUGGCCCCUCGCCCUCCUCUUAAGACCCCUGUAGGUCUCUGGCCUCUACUCACAAUACUGAUAAUAAUGAACAUAUAUUUUUCAUUUCUAUGUACCUGUAACUUAAAUAAUGUACAGCGAACUGUCUUAAGAGGUUGAAGGUAAAUAUUGAGAGGGAGGACAACGUGUGGUAUGUAUAUAGGUUAUAUUAGUCAAUUGAUAGUUACACUGGAUGUAGAUGUACAGUAUAACAUAAGUACAUUUGUAAAUACUUUUUUCACUUAAAACUAUUACUACCAAGUCUGCCCAAAGCUCUUCCUGAAGAUCUACCAUCCUGUAGGUUUUCAAUCCAACCGUCAUCAAACAUACCUGAUUCCACUAGUUAAGGUCUGGGGGACCUGCUAAUAAUUAGAAUCAGGUGAGUGAGUGAAAAAGUACAGGCCAGUAGGUCUUCAGGACGAGGGUUGGGCAGCUCUGCAGCAGGCCUACAUGCUAGCCUGGAACUGCUGUCAACUAGGAUGGGCGUUAGGGAGGCUCCACCACUACAACUACACUUACACUGCCUUGCAAAAGUGUUCACACCCCUCAGGUUUCCUCACAUUUUGUUGGUACAAAGUGGGAUUAAAAAUAAAUAAAAUAUUUUUUUGUUGUCAACAAUCUACACAAAAUACUCAAGUCAAAGUGUUUUAUUGAUUUAAUAUGAAUAGAGAUGACAUAACAAAAAUAUCGUCGUUGCAUAAGUAUUGAGCUCCCGAAGUCAAUACAUUUGACUUAGGGGGUGAUUACAUCUGUGUCUUCCUGGGUAAGUCUUUUAAAGCUUUACACACCUGGAUUGUGCAAUAUUAGCCCAUUUAUUCUUUUUAAAGUUCUUCAAGCUCUGUCAAGAUGUCUCGCUAUUGAUUUAAGCAGAUUUAGGUCUAACUGUAACUUGGCCACUCAGGAACAUUCACUGUUUUCUUAGUCAAAUACUCCAGUGUAGAUUUGGCCUUGUGUUGUAGGUUAUUGUCCUGCUGAAAAGUGAAUUCCCCUCCCAGUGACUGGUGUAAAGCAGACUGAAGCCUCAAGGAUUUUACAUGUGCUUAGCUUCAUCCCAUUUCUUUUUAUCCUGAAAAACUGCCCAGUAUUUGCCGACGUCAAGCAUACCCAUAACAUGAUGCAGCCACCACCAUGCUUAAAAAUAAGGAGGCAGUUAGUUACUCCGUGUUGUUGGAUUUGCCCCAAAUGUAAGGCUUUGCAGUGUUUUUUUUUAAAGUAUAACUUGUGUGCCUUGUUGCAUACAACAUGCAUGUUUUGGAAUAUUUUUAUUCUGUAUAUUUUUGUAUUGUUCUUUUCAAUCUGCCAUUGUAAGUCAUUAUUGUGGAGUCUCUACAAUGUUGUUGGGCCAACCUCAGUUUUCUCCCAUCACAGCUUUUCUUUUAAAAUCACCAUGGUGACAUCCCUGAGCUGUUUCAAUCCUGCUGCUCAGUUCAAAAGGAGGAUCUUUUAUGUCUCUGAGUGGUUUAAUACACCAUCCACAUCACCAUGCGUAAAUAUAUAUUCAAUGUCUGAUUUGUUAUUGUUACCCAUCUACCAAUCACUGCCCUUCUGAAAAAGGCUUUCGAAAAGGUCCCUGGUCUUUGUAAUUUAAUCUGUGCUUGAAAUUCAAUACUUGACUGAAGGACCUCACAGAUGGUGUAUGUAUGGGGUACAGAGGAAGGGUUGUUCACUAAAAUAUCAUGUCAACCCCUAUUACACACAGUGAGUCCAUAUAACUUCAAAUCAAAUUGUAUUAGUCACAUGUACCGAAUACAACAGAUGUAGACCUUACAUUGAAAUGCUUACUUACAAGCCCCUAACUGACAAUGCAGUUAAAACAUAUAUGGAUAAGAAUAAGAGAGAAGUGUAACAAGUAAUUAAAGAGGAGCAGUAAAAAAUAACAAUAUAUACAGGGGGGCGGUACAGUCGAUCUGUGGGGGCACCGGUUAGUUGAGGUAGUAUGAACAUGUAGGUAGAGUUAAUUAAAGUGACUAUGCAUAGAUGACAACAGAGUGGCAGUGGUGUGGAGGGGGGAGGGGCAAUGUGAAUAGUCUGGGUAGCCAUUUGGCUAGAUAUUCAGGAGUCUUAUGGCUUGGGGGUAGAAGCUGUUUAGAAGCCUCUUAGACCCAGACUUGGCGCUCCGGUACCGCUUGCCGUAUGGUAGCAGAGAGAACAGUCUAUGACUAGGGUGGCUGGAGCCUUUGACAAUUUUCAGGGCUUUCCUCUGACACCGCCUGGUAUAGAGGUCCUGGAUGGCAGGAAGCUUGGCCACAGCAAUGUACAGGGCCGUUCGCACUACGCUCUGUAGUGCCUUGUGGUCAGAAGCAGAGCAGUUGCCAUACCAGGCAGUGAUGCAACCAGUCGGAUUGCUCUCGAUGGUGCAGGUGUAGAACCUUUUGAGGAUCUGAGGACUCAUGCCAAAUAUGAUCAGUCUUCUGAGGGGGAAUAGGUUUUGUCAUGCAUGCUUCACGACUGUCAUGGUGUGCUUGGACCAUGUUAGUUUGUUGGUGAUGUGGACACCAAGGAACUUGAAGCUCUCAACCUGCUCCACUACAGCCCCGUCGAUGAGAAUGGGGGCGUGCUCGGUCCUAUUUUUCAUGUAGUCCACAAUCAUCUCCAUUGUCUUGAUCAGGUUGAGGGAGAGGUUGUUGUCCUGGAACCACACGGCCAGGUUCUGACCUCCUCCCUAUAGGCUCGUCUCAUUGUCGGUGAUCAGGCCGAGCACUGUUGUGUCAUCGACAAAAUUAAUGAUGGUGUUGGAUUCGUGCCUGGCCGUGCAGUCAUGAGUGAACAAGGGAGUACAGGAGAGGACUGAGCACGCACCCCUGAGUGGCCCCUGUGUUGUAAUGUGGUCUGCAGUUUAUCAUGAGAAACUACCUCAGAUGAGCAAUGGCUCGAGACUUCCUUAGAUAUCGUCCACCAACUGUUUACAAAAAUACAUAGACCGCCACUCCUUGUCUUACCAGAUGCCGCCGUUCUAUCCUGCCGGUACAUAGUAUAACCAGCCAGCUGUAUGUUGAUAUUGUUGUCGUUCAGCCACGACUCCGUGAAGCUUAUGAUGCUACAGUUAAUGUCCCGUUGGUAGUUUCAUCUUCCCAAUAACUCGUCCAUUUUAUUGUCCAAAGAUUGCAUGUUUGCGAGCAGAAUUGCGGGGAGUGAGGGUUUAUUCGAUCGCCGCCUACUCCUCAGAAGGCAGUCCUCCCUCCCUCCGGCCUCUAUCUCCACCUCCUCUUCACGCAGAUCACUGGGGCCUGUUCCUGAGGGAGCCGUAUAUCCUCCGCCUCGGGCUCAUCAGAGUUGUGAAAGAAGAGAGAAAGGCUUCUGCUAGUCCGUGGUGAGUAAUCUCAGUCCUGAUGAUGUAUAGAAGUCAUUUUCGGUCAUAAAAGACGGUAACGGCCACAUUAUGUACAAAAACAAGUUACACAACGCAGAUAAAACAAAGAAAAACACAAUCGGUUGGGGGCACGUAAAACAUCUGCCUUCUGCUCCGGUGCCAACUUGUGUUAUUUGUUAAAUCAAACUAAUUUAGGCCUGAACAAAGGGGCCAUAUUGUAGUUAUCUACUUUAAUUCAUCUUCAAAAUAAUCUUCCACUUUGACAUUGGUGUAUUUUGAGUCGAUUGUUGACCCCCCAAAAAAUACAAUUUUAUCAAUUUUAAUCCCACUUUGUAACACAAAAUGUGAAGAAAUCCAAGGGGUAUGAAUACCUUUGCAAGGCACUGUAGAUAGUUAAUGUCUUCUUGCAGAUUAAACGGUGUUGGUUUGUUUGACCAAUCCAUUUGUUUUCAUUUGUACACAUCCUGUUUUUCCAUAAUAGACCUCAGUAUUCUUUGAUGAAAACGCUGUACAUUUGACAUUGAAGAUCCUAUAGAUAGACUACUAACUUACAGUGUGAGCAUUGAAUGAAGGCUUGCAGAAACCCGGUCAGAUAUGCAUAUCACAAACUCUUUCUUGUUCAGUCCAUACCGAUCUUCUUUGCAGUGAAAUGAGGUACCUUACAGCAAUGUGUCCUCCAGCUAAGGCAGGGGUCGUUUAGCAGCUCCUGGAAAUGCAUAGUGAUGUACAAUGAAUGUGAUCAAACAACUGCAAAGGCUAGCUAAUGCUUCUGUACAGGCCAUAGACCACCAUAAAUAACACCAUAUUGUCUAGGAGUCGUGAAACAGUAUGCCUAGUUACAUGGGGACUGUGCCUUCUGUCUGCCUGUCGUUUCCUAUGCAGCUUCAGGUUAAAUCAGCAUCCUAAAACACAUGUUCCCUUUGCUUAUAGCACUAUCACUUUUAUCUGGAUAUUGUUUGUUAUAUUGUUCUUCAGAAUGUCACAAAUGUUAUUUUCUUUGAUUUAGACUUUUCGAAAAUGUUUGAUCAGUCUGCUAAGUAAUUCUACUGUAAACAAAAUGUUUUUGUUGCUUGAAUAUGUUAAACAACUACUGUACUACUACAUACUCUAAUGGUAGAAUACAAAUAGAGAAAUGCUAUGAAUUCCCUUCUACAUGUUUUUCUUUUUAAAGUGAGUAUUAUAACUUUAUAAGAUGUUAGCUAGCUACAGUAGAAAUAAUAGCUGAUAUGAUUUGACUUUCAGAUUUAGUUUCCCACCUCAGAAUAACAAAUGGAAUGUUUUUGUCAUAGUGUGAUCAUGCUGACUCAGUAUUAUACACUGUAGGCCUAUCUGAAACCACACCCUGUUCCCUUUAGUGCACUACUAUUGGUCAGAGCCAAUCUGGGCACUACGUAGGUAAUAGGAUGCCAUUUUGGACACUUAUUGAUUGUCUUCAAUAGGGGUCAGAGAAUGGACAGUAGUCACGCUGGUUAGUGUGGAGGUAUGAGAGGGAGAAAUAUGAGUGUAAGAAUCGGAGUCUCAAUAGAUACCACUGGUUGGAUUCAACUUUAGACGACUGUUUGAGUACAGGUAAACCACUGGCUAGGCACACCAGAAGGGUUUCAAAUGCAUUUUAUACGGUUUUAUAAUAUUUUCUCACUCUGUUCCUGUAUCUGUACAAAAAUGACCUUUGUACACAUUCAUGACCUUGUAUGAAAUAAAACAAUUGGACACAAGAA